GUGUUCACUUAGGCAGCGCACACACUAAAACUGGAAUGAUACAGAGAAGAUUAGCAUGACUCCUGUGCAAGGAUGACACGCAAAUCGUGAAAUGUCCCACAUUUUU
rnacentral:snRNA from 1 species